rnacentral:rRNA from 1 species
GAUGAACGCUGGCGGCGUGCCUAAUACAUGCAAGUCGAGCGAACAGACGAGGAGCUUGCUCCUCUGAUGUUAGCGGCGGACGGGUUAGUAACACGUGGAUAACCUACCUAUAAGACUGGGAUAACUUCGGGAAACCGGAGCUAAUACCGGAUAACAUGUUGAACCGCAUGGUUCAACAGUGAAAGACGGUCUUGCUGUCACUUAUAGAUGGAUCCGCGCCGCAUUAGCUAGUUGGUAAGGUAACGGCUUACCAAGGCAACGAUGCGUAGCCGACCUGAGAGGGUGAUCGGCCACACUGGAACUGAGACACGGUCCAGACUCCUACGGGAGGCAGCAGUAGGGAAUCUUCCGCAAUGGGCGAAAGCCUGACGGAGCAACGCCGCGUGAGUGAAGAAGGUCUUCGGAUCGUAAAACUCUGUUAUUAGGGAAGAACAAAUGUGUAAGUAACUAUGCACGUCUUGACGGUACCUAAUCAGAAAGCCACGGCUAACUACGUG